AGGACGAACGCUGGCGGCGCGCCUAACACAUGCAAGUCGAGCGAUGAAAAUUUAACAGACUCUUUCGGGAAGAAGUAAAAUUGGAUUAGCGGCGGACGGGUGAGUAACACGUGAGUAACCUGCCUUUAACACAGGGAUAGCCUCGGGAAACCGGGAUUAAUACCUGAUAACAAUAUAAGAUCGCAUGAUCAUAAAUUCAAAGCGUUCAGCGGUUAAAGAUGGACUCGCGGCCCAUUAGCUUGUUGGCGGGGUAACGGCCCACCAAGGCGAUGAUGGGUAGCCGGACUGAGAGGUCGACCGGCCACAUUGGGACUGAGACACGGCCCAGACUCCUACGGGAGGCAGCAGUGGGGAAUUUUGCGCAAUGGGGGAAACCCUGACGCAGCAACGCCGCGUGCGGGAUGAAGGCCUUCGGGUUGUAAACCGCUUUCAGUAGGGAAGAGACAGGACUGUACCUACACAAGAAGCUCCGGCUAAAUACGUGCCAGCAGCCGCGGUAAUACGUAUGGAGCAAGCGUUAUCCGGAUUCAUUGGGCGUAAAGCGCGCGUAGGCGGAUUGUUAAGUCGGUUGUUAAAUCCCAAAGCUCAACUUUGGUUCGCAUCCGAUACUGGCAGUCUUGAGUCGUAGAGAGA
rnacentral:rRNA from 1 species